AUGUAACCUCAUAUUUACGAAAGUUUUUUAUUUCAAACACAUGAUGCGGCAUCCCAUCAUUGUAAGGCCAUAUAAAUUUGUAAAAGUAACACAUUCAGCAAUUUUAAGUUUAGAACCUGAGAUAUAAACGUUACACAAAUCUUUUCAAUCUAACCCAUAAGAUUAGAAAAAGUUGUCUUAAUCUAUAUAAAUAUGUUUGUUAUAUGUUGUAAUCACAUGUACAUUUUGUACAUGAGGGGGUUUAACUUAAAAGUAUUAUACUGCUUUUAACUAGUAAAUCUGACGAUUACCUGAAAAAUUCUCAACUGGAUCAUACCAAUGCAAAGCUCUAGGGGUUGGCAUAAAUAACAUCUGAUGAUGAUUCAAUGUACAAAUGUAUGUGACCAAAGGAGUUGAGUUAGUGGCGUGAUGAGUCGUGAAUCCAGUCCAGUCUGGUAACCCAUCUGUAAAAACUGGUGUGUCCUUGUUGUCCAAGUCUCUGGUCCAACUGUUACAACCCUUGGCCGUGUUCUGUGACCGAGCAAGGUCUCUAACUGAUCUACCAAUCAGUGUGCUACAACUCAACAAAAAGUAAAUAUUAGUUCCACCAUGCUAUAUAGCAUUGACAUAACAAAACCAAAUGACUGUACAAAGAAACAAUAACAAUUAAAAAUUACGUAUACUCAUACAUG
rnacentral:lncRNA from 1 species